rnacentral:misc_RNA from 1 species
GAUGAAGAACGUAGCAAAAUGCGAUAAGUAGUGUGAAUUGCAGAAUUCAGUGAAUCAUCGAGUCUUUGAACGCACAUUGCGCCCCGUGGUAUUCCGGGGGGCAUGCCUGUCCGAGCGUCAUUGCUGCCCUCAAGCACGGCUUGUGUGUUGGGCCUCCGUCCUCCUCCCGGGGGACGGGCCCGAAAGGCAGCGGCGGCACCGCGUCCGGUCCUCGAGCGUAUGGGGCUUCGUCACCCGCUCUUGUAGGCCCGGCCGGCGCUUGCCGACACAUCAAUCUUUUUUCCAGGUUGACCUCGGAUCAGGUAGGGAUACCCGCUGAACUUAAGCAUAUCAAUAAGCGGAGGA